GCACAACGCGAAGAACCUUACCAAGGCUUGACAUACACGAGAACACCGUAGAAAUACGGGACUCUUUGGACACUCGUGAACAGGUGGUGCAUGGUUGUCGUCAGCUCGUGUCGUGAGAUGUUGGGUUAAGUCCCGCAACGAGCGCAACCCUCGUUCUAUGUUGCCAGCACGUAGUGGUGGGAACUCAUGGGAUACUGCCGGGGUCAACUCGGAGGAAGGUGGGGAUGACGUCAAAUCAUCAUGCCCCUUAUGUCUUGGGCUUCACGCAUGCUACAACGGCCGGUACAAAGGGCUGCAAUACCGCGAGGUGGAGCGAUACCCAAAAAGCCGGUCCCAGUUCGGAUUGAGGUCUGCAACUCGACCUCAUGAAGUCGGAGUCGCUAGUAAUCGCAGAUCAGCAACGCUGCGGUGAAUACGUUCCGGGUCUUGUACACACCG
rnacentral:rRNA from 1 species